rnacentral:rRNA from 1 species
GUCUCAGUUCGGAUUGGAGUCUGNAACCCGACUCCAUGAAGCUGGAUUCGCUAGUAAUCGCGCAUCAGCCACGGCGCGGUGAAUACGUUCCCGGGCCUUGUACACACCGCCCGUCAAGCCAUGGAAGCCGGGGGUGCCUGAAGUGCGCUGCCGCAAGGAGCGCCCUAGGGUAAAACCGGUGACUGGGGCUAAGUCGUAACAAGGUAUC